AAAGGUCCCGCCUGCCCAGUGAACAAUUUUUCAACGGCCGCGGUAUCCUAACCGUGCAAAGGUAGCGUAAUCACUUGCCCCUUAAAUAGGGGCCUGUAUGAACGGCUAACUGAGGGCACACCUGUCUCCUGAUGCCAACUAAUGAAACUGAUCUUCUGGUACAAAAGCCAGGAUACACCCACAAGACGAGAAGACCCUGUGGAGCUUACAACCUAAUCACUACUAAUCACCACUUAAUCCUAGUGAGCGGUUUAAGUUGGGGCGACUACGGAGCAUAACAAACCCUCCAAGAAACCAGGCUAACCCCCCCCCC
rnacentral:rRNA from 1 species